CUACGGGUGGCUGCAGUGGGGAAUAUUGCACAAUGGGCGCAAGCCUGAUGCAGCCAUGCCGCGUGUAUGAAGAAGGCCUUCGGGUUGUAAAGUACUUUCAGCGGGGAGGAAGGGAGUAAAGUUAAUACCUUUGCUCAUUGACGUUACCCGCAGAAGAAGCACCGGCUAACUCCGUGCCAGCAGCCGCGGUAAUACGGAGGGUGCAAGCGUUAAUCGGAAUUACUGGGCGUAAAGCGCACGCAGGCGGUUUGUUAAGUCAGAUGUGAAAUCCCCGGGCUCAACCUGGGAACGGCAUCUGAUACUGGCAAGCUUGAGUGUCGUAGAGGGGGGUAGAAUUCCAGGUGUAGCGGUGAAAUGCGUAGAGAUCUGGAGGAAUACCGGUGGCGAAGGCGGCCCCCUGGACGAAGACUGACGCUCAGGUGCGAAAGCGUGGGGAGCAAACAGGAUUAGAUACCCGUGUAGUC
rnacentral:rRNA from 1 species